CAAUAGCGUAUAUUAAAGCUGUUGCGGUUAAAAAGCUCGUAGUUGGAUUUCUGUCAAGGACAACUGGUCCGCCCCUCGGGUGAGCACAUAGUUUGGUCUUGGCAUCUUGUUGGAAACUGUUGCUGCACUUGGUUGUGUGGCGCAGUGUCCAGCACUUUCACUUUGAGGAAAUUGGAGUGUUUCAAGCAGGCACAUGCCUUUGGACACAGUAGCAUGGAAUAAUUAGAUCGGGCUUUUGCUCCAACUUGUCGGUUUCUGGAGCUGAGGUGAGAAUUAAUGGGGAUUGUUGGGGGCAUCCGAAUUUAGCCGUCAGAGGUGAAAUUCUUGGAUCUGCUAAAGACGGACAACUGCGAAAGCGUUUGCCCAGGAUGUUUUCAUUGA
rnacentral:rRNA from 1 species